UUUUUGCAGCAGCUCUGAUAUAUCUGAGUAUACACCAUGGCCGUGUAGGUGGAAGCGGUGGAGGAGGAGGAGGUAGCCAACACUGUUUUUUAUUAUUUUAUUUUUUUUAAUUGGGGUAGCCCCCAAAAUAUUGGGACAUACAUACAUAUAAAAAAAGAAUAAAAAGAAUAAGUGCACUUGAGUACAACAAUGCCUGGGUGAGGCCGGUAUAAAUGUCUAUUUUGCACAAGGUACAGACAAGUCUGGUGGGGUCCAUGCCUGGUUCAUUUUAAUAAACAUGAGCUUGUCCACGUUGGCCCUGGAAAGGCGGCUGCGCUUGUCUGUGAUAACCUUGUGCCGAUCGCACGUCCCCGUGACGGCGACAACGCAUUCGGAUGUCUGCCCUAUCAACUUUCGAUGCAAUUUUCCUCGCCUACCAUGGUGACCACGGGUAACGGGGAAUCAGGGUUAGAUUCCAGAGAGGGAGCCUGAGAAACAGCUACCACAUGCAAGGAAGGCAGCAGGCGUGCAAAUACCCACCCCUGACGCGGGGUGAAGUAGUGACGACAAAAAACAAUACACUACUCUUUCGAGGCCCUGUAAUUGUAAUGAGUCCACUUUAAAUCCUUUAACUUGGAUCAAUUGGAGGGCAAGUCUGGUGCAGAGCAACUGACCCGUGCGUGCUGCAGCUGAAACUCCACU